rnacentral:rRNA from 1 species
GACGAACGCUGGCGGCGUGCCUAAUACAUGCAAGUUGAGCGCUGAAGGUUGGUCCUUGUACCAACUGGAUGAGCAGCGAACAGGUGAGUAACGCGUGGGGAAUCUGCCUUUGAGCGGGGGACAACAUUUGGAAACGAAUGCUAAUACCGCAUAAAAACUUUAAACACAAGUUUUAAGUUUGAAAGAUGCAAUUGCAUCACUCAAAGAUGAUCCCGCGUUGUAUUAGCUAGUUGGUGAGGUAAAGGCUCACCAAGGCGAUGAUACAUAGCCGACCUGAGAGGGUGAUCGGCCACAUUGGGACUGAGACACGGCCCAAACUCCUACGGGAGGCAGCAGUAGGGAAUCUUCGGCAAUGGACGAAAGUCUGACCGAGCAACGCCGCGUGAGUGAAGAAGGUUUUCGGAUCGUAAAACUCUGUUGGUAGAGAAGAACGUUGGUGAGAGUGGAAAGCUCAUCAAGUGACGGUAACUACCCAGAAAGGGACGGCUAACUACGUG